AGCUCGUGAUGAGGGCACAACCUUAACAUCUCCUUAAAAUACUAUCAUGCUUCAUAAAGCGAUUCUCCGUUCUUUUAGGUAAAAUUAGUGAUUUGAUUCCUUAAUUC